AUUGAACGCUGGCGGCAUGCUUUACACAUGCAAGUCGAACGGUAACAGGCCGCAAGGUGCUGACGAGUGGCGAACGGGCGAGUAAUGCAUCGGAACGUGCCCAGUCGUGAGGGAUAACGCAGCGAAAGCUGCGCUAAUACCGCAUACGAUCUCUGGAUGAAAGCGGGGGACCGAAAGGCCUCGCGCGAUUGGAGCGGCCGAUGUCAGAUUAGGUAGUUGGUGGGGUAAAGGCCCACCAAGCCAACGAUCUGUAGCUGGUCUGAGAGGACGACCAGCCACACUGGGACUGAGACACGGCCCAGACUCCUACGGGAGGCAGCAGUGGGGAAUUUUGGACAAUGGGCGCAAGCCUGAUCCAGCAAUGCCGCGUGCAGGAAGAAGGCCUUCGGGCUGUAAACUGCUUUUGUACGGAACGAAACGGUCCGGGUUAAUACCCUGGGCUAAUGACGGUACCGUAAGAAUAAGCACCGGCUAACUACGUGCCAGCAGCCGCCGUAACAC
rnacentral:rRNA from 1 species